GAUUUACUGAGUAGAUCCUCACCCAGCCUGAAAGAGAAAAUUAAGAUCCAAUAAACACAUACCAUUUCUAUAUGAUCCUUCUUUGGAAGCAGGAGUAGGGGAGUGCAAGCUGAUUACUCUGGGCUCAAGAACACCUUUUGAGGACUUGUGGAUCUGGGCCUCAUAAAAACAGAGAAGGCAUGACAUAGCUCCACCUACAUGCAAGGGGAGCCAGGAAGUACAAUCCCUGGCUGGGCUGCCACGUCUCAGAAACCAUUAAGCCUAUGGAAGGUCUCUGGAUUUGAUGGCAAAUGGCAGCAGAAAUGUGGAAAAGAUCAAAGUGAUAUCAAGGUUUAUCUCUGAGUUUGGCACGGCUGAACUCAAACAUCAUUUGCCAUGGACCCACAGUGUCUUCAGUAGCUGAGUGUGGUGUCAUUCCCCUAUGAUAUGUGCACUCAAUUGCUGGCCAGUUUUUGUUUUUUGUUUUUGAGAGAGUCUCGCUUUGUCUCCUAGGCUGGAGUGCAGUGGCACGAUCUCGGCUCACUGCAACCUCCGCCUCCCGGGUUCAAGUGAUUUUCCUGCCUCAGCCUCCCGAGUAGCUGAGAUUACAGGCAUGUGCCAGCAGGCCCGGCUAAUUUUUUUUGUAAUUUUAGUAGAGACGGGGUUUCGCCAUGUUGGCCAGGCUGGUCUCGAGCUCCUGGCCUCAAGUGACCAACCUGCCUCCACCUCCCAAAGUGCUGGGAUUACAGGUGUGAGCCACUGUACCUGGCCCCAGAGUUUUAGAAAUUGGAUCAUUUUAAAUGUUGGAGGGGAGUUCAUUGUUUAGGAUGGCUGUGUGGCAAAUCUUUUUUUAAAGUAAGUAAUUCUCCUGUAUUAUAAGUCACCUCCUGAUCUCUACAUUUAAGGUUUGCUGUCCUGGAUGUGUUCACCUAUGAAUGUAAGUGUGCUGAGAUACACAGUGCAAGGCUGAAGUCAGAGUACACCACUGAUGAACCCCUGGGAACUGGUAACCCAGCCAGGGAACGAACAUCUUUUAUGAAUCAGUUUAUCCACCAAACACUUGCAGAGAGCCUAUCCCAUGCCACCCCUGAGGGCACAGUGAUGGAGAAGAUAUGCUUCCUGCCUCCAAGAAUCCCAUAGUCUAGUGGCAGAGACAAGCAGACUCUGCUUCAUCAUUGCUAAGUUGGAAAGAGCAAGCAAUUGAGAGUCCCUGCUGGCCACAGCUGGGGUGCCCGAGACCACAGCACUGAGCCUCAAAGGCAAGUGAGCAUAGUGUUGGGAGCUGGGCUUCUGGAUCCAUCAACUCCAUCUGAUGACUCGGAAGUUCCUUCAGUUCCCAACACUGGAGUCCAGCAAGGCUGGUUUGUCUUGUUUUAAUUAUUAUUUAGAUGACUGUUUGGCUCAUACCUGAGCAAGGUUCGAAUCAAGUCAGACCUGUUAAUUGAAUCAAAGUUAUAUAAUCACAUUUGGGCACUUAAAUGUAAACCAAUUAUGUUGGAAGCCAAGUAUCUUGUACUCAGGAGGGAGUUCUAAUAAGUGCUGGGAAUGUAUGCUAAUGCACAAAGCCUAACCCCCAGAGUGGAGGGUGGAGCACUCCAGGGCACUCCUGUUUCGGUGACAUUGUUUUAAUAGCUAGUGCUCUGGGUGCAGUCUGGGAAGAUACUGGAAACAUCUCAAGCAAGUAUGACAUCCAUUUUACCCAAGCCCAUGGAACCCAUUAUGUUUGGAACAUGUCUGUCUGUGGCAUUUGGCUUGGCUUAUAAAUGCACUAUCAGAAUCUGUAGGAGGCCUUCGCAACAAGACGUGUCUUGGCCUUUCUGGUUAUCAGCAUUCCCUCCACCUCUCUCUUAACAAACAUAUGCCAUAAGUCCUGAUCAGGCAUUUAGUUUUUUCACUUGGACCUUUUCCUAGUUCCUAGUCUCAACCCCAAUGCCUCCUAAUCUUGUACUUCUUCAAAUACUGGCCCCUCUCUACUAUGAGAGAGAGAGGAAAGUAGGGAGGAGAAGGAGGAAAAGUUAUUGAGUUGAUAUGAGGGUAGUCAACCUAAAGCAACAAUCAGGAGUAAGGUACUGGACUUGAGUUUGAAGUGUUUGUCACUAAACUCUCUCAAACUCUUCCAGGCUAACUAGCCUCAGAGGGCUUCUAGCCCAUAGUCUCCUUGUAUUUUCUGCCCUCCUCACUUGGAGUGGGAGGGAACCAGAUGUCCAGUCUUUGUCCAGUGUUAAGAACUGGCCUGGCAGGCUUUGUUGAGACCAUCCAGACUUGAAAGCUUCACAACCAGAUGCCAUCACAGGCACUUUCUGCUCUUAGCCUUUGUCUGUGUCUCCUACAUGAACUCAUCAGACUGCCUCUGAAGAGGGACAUUCUAGGGACAGUUUCAUCUUCAUCACCAUCCUGGAUAGGGAACCCUUCCAGACUCAGAGUUGCAAAAGUCAGGGAGGGGCUGCUCACUGGAGGUGGAGUCCUUUGGCCAGGUUUCACUGUAAACACAUGGCUAAAAUGUGCUGCACAUGGACAGGCAUGCUAGUGUGCCCUGGAUAUAUGCUAGUGUGCCCCGGAUAUAUGCUAGUGUGCCCCGUAUAGCUUCUGGCUAAAGGACACACCUCAGCAAGGCCAAAUGAGGCAUCAGGAUGAAUUCUUCAAAUAGACUUCAUUAGACCCACAGAAGACUGACCUUUGCCUGACUUUGGAUUACCCCUUUCUUGCCAGGAAUUAUGUUCAAUGACUAUAUCUGGAACUAGAGGUCUUGAUAGCCACACUUUGCUUGGUGUGGCUUCUCAGUCUUUUAAGGACAUGGCUAUCAAGGGCUCAUGUUUAUUCCAGGUCAGCCCUUUACCCCUUUCCUCCAGGGGCAUCUAUGGCAACAAAAGACCAUGACAUCUGGCAGGGCUGGCAGGACUAUUUAGUUUAGGCAGGAAUGUGGGUGUUAGCAUGUCAGAGUACAUCUGAGAAAACAUUCCAAACCAACCUUUCCACACUGGGAACUCAACCCUCAGGAAUCACCAAAGAUAAGGGCAACAGUCUUAUCUCUCAGAGGGAAGUUCAGGGUAAAGGCCACUCCCGCUGUGGACCAGAGCUCAGGGAAGAAGAAAGCUCAGGCUGGCUCUGCCUGUCCACUUGAUGAACUUCCACAAAUGCCACUCUGGCAACUGAGGCAUAUGAAGUGGGGAAGAAAAUACCAGCCCUGCCCUGGAGCUCUGGGCACACCCCUAAAGAUGCCAGCAGAUCUGAACUGUGGCCUAUGUGUGUUUGGGAAUUGAGAAAUAAGGAGAUAGAGGGACAGCAGGCAGGAAAAACUACAAUUAGUCUCAACUCGCACAGAUUUGGGAGUAUGCAGAUCUGAAUUGUGGCCUCCGUGUGUUUGGCUGAAGGAUAAUGAUCUCAGGCCCAGAUUUUUUUUUUUUUUGUAUCACUCGCUCAGGGGGUUCUGACCAGGAGCUUCUUUCAGAUGACACAGAUCCCGAGGAGCCACUUGCCUUCUACCCAUGACACUUCUAAGAGUGACUCUUGCCAUGUGACCAUAGAGAUAAGUGAAGCUUUUCUCCAAUGACAUCAUUAAGAAGUCUAAACUUCCCCAAAGGGAGAGGCUGUGACUAGGAACACAAAUGUCUCAGUGUAUCACACUCAUGCUCCCAGAUCUGUGGGCAGAAAAAGAAAUCAUAGAAUGGUGCAUAUCCUAAAAAUAAAAAGGAAAUUGCUUUUCAAGUUAUGAAAUCUGGCCCUUCUCGUUGUGAGUUUAAAGUACAUGUUACUGCUUCAGUUUCUAAAACAGGAGGUGGCCAGAUUCAGAGUUUAAAAUGUCUAAGUGGUUAUUUGAAAACAGAUAUUUAGAGGCAACUGAGAGAAGAAUACUGGGGCCAUGGGUCUGCAGUCACUUUCCCAGCAGUGCUCUGAGGCCUUGGGUCUCAUAAAAGGUAAUCAUAGUUACUCCUUUUAAAGAAAGCUGAGUCUAAUUGUAGCUUUUCCUGCCUGUUGUCCCUCUAUCUCCUUAUUUCCCAAUUCUAUCUAUCUUUCAAAACCCAGCUCAAAUCCCACCUCCUUCCAUAAGUCUUCCAUUGUUUAAUACAGUUGGAAUUUACCUCUCCCUCCUCUAACUCCCAUGGCAUUUUAUUUACACCUCUCUGAUGGCCACUUUCUACUUUCUAUAAGGUAAGUUAUAUACUUGUUUUAUAUCAAUAAAUUUCAAAAUAUUGAAAUCUUACAGAGUAUGUUCUCUAACCACAAUGAAAUUAGAUCAUAUAUUAAACUACCUAGAUAAUCCUACAUAUUUAGAAAUUAAAUAGCACAUUUAUAAAUAACCAUGGAUCAAAGGAGACAUUUUAGGGGAAUUAGAAAAUAUUCAGAUUGAGGGAAAAUGAAAAUUCAAUAUUAUAUUUCAAAAUUUGUGGGGUGCAGGUAGAGCAGUGCUUAGGGGGAAAUUAAUAGCUCUAAUGUGUUAGUAUUAGAAAAAGAACGAAGGUUUAAAAUUAGUUAUCCAAAUUUCCAUUUUUAAAUGUAGAACAAAAAGAAAAGUAAACCCAAAGAAAGAAGGAAAUCAUAAGUAUAAAAGCAGAAGUCAGUAUAUUAGAAAACAAGCUGCAGGGAUUUUUAACUCAGUCAAAAAUUGGUUCUUUGAAAAGAUUCAUAAAAUUAGUAAGCCUCUAACAAGAUUGA